rnacentral:rRNA from 1 species
GCAGCGCGAAGAACCUUACCAUCCCUUGACAUCCAGAGAAUCACCUAGAGAUAGAUGAGUGCCUUCGGGAACUCUGAGACAGGUGCUGCAUGGCUGUCGUCAGCUCGUGUUGUGAAAUGUUGGGUUAAGUCCCGCAACGAGCGCAACCCUUAUCCUUACUUGCCAGCGGGUUAUGCCGGGAACUUUAGGGAGACUGCCGGUGAUAAACCGGAGGAAGGUGGGGACGACGUCAAGUCAUCAUGGCCCUUACGGGAUGGGCUACACACGUGCUACAAUGGCAAAUACAAAGGGUUGCUAACCUGCGAGGGUAUGCGAAUCUCAUAAAGUUUGUCGUAGUCCGGAUCGGAGUCUGCAACUCGACUCCGUGAAGUUGGAAUCGCUAGUAAUCGUGGAUCAGAAUGCCACGGUGAAUACGUUCCCGGGCCUUGUACACACCGCCCGUCACACCAUGGGAGUGGGCUGCACCAGAAGUCAUUAGCUUAACCUUCGGGAUGGCGAUGACCACGGUAUGGUUCAUGACUGGGGUGAAGUCGUAACAAGGUAACCUUAAUUAAAAA